GCCUAACACAUGCAAGUCGAACGAAGUCUUCGGACUUAGUGGCGGACGGGUGAGUAACACGUGGGAACGUGCCUUUAGGUUCGGAAUAACUCAGGGAAACUUGUGCUAAUACCGAAUGUGCCCUUCGGGGGAAAGAUUUAUCGCCUUUAGAGCGGCCCGCGUCUGAUUAGCUAGUUGGUGAGGUAAAGGCUCACCAAGGCGACGAUCAGUAGCUGGUCUGAGAGGAUGAUCAGCCACAUUGGGACUGAGACACGGCCCAAACUCCUACGGGAGGCAGCAGUGGGGAAUCUUGCGCAAUGGGCGAAAGCCUGACGCAGCCAUGCCGCGUGAAUGAUGAAGGUCUUAGGAUUGUAAAAUUCUUUCACCGGGGACGAUAAUGACGGUACCCGGAGAAGAAGCCCCGGCUAACUUCGUGCCAGCAGCCGCGGUAAUACGAAGGGGGCUAGCGUUGCUCGGAAUUACUGGGCGUAAAGGGAGCGUAGGCGGACAUUUAAGUCAGGGGUGAAAUCCCGGGGCUCAACCUCGGAAUUGCCUUUGAUACUGGGUGUCUUGAGUGUGAGAGAGGUAUGUGGAACUCCGAGUGUAGAGGUGAAAUUCGUAGAUAUUCGGAAGAACACCAGUGGCGAAGGCGACAUACUGGCUCAUUACUGACGCUGAGGCUCGAAAGCGUGGGGAGCAAACAGGAUUAGAUACCCUGGUAGUCCACGCCGUAAACGAUGAUUGCUAGUUGUCGGGAUGCAUGCAUUUCGGUGACGCAGCUAACGCAUUAAGCAAUCCGCCUGGG
rnacentral:rRNA from 1 species